AAGUUUGGAGGUGAGAAUAGAAAACAAGGAAAGAAAGGAGAAAGAGGAAUAUGUCAGGUGUCCUCUAGAGUUCCCUUGACCACUUCAUUGGGAGAUAACUUGAUCUAUCAAUUCUCCCACUGAAGUGUUUGGGGGAACUCCCGGUGGCAUUUGAUUUUACUAAGAAUGAGAUGAACAUACAGGCUUAUGAGCAAUAUAUUGAGCAGCCUUCCACAGUUCUUCCUUGUUGCGGUUAAUAUUCUUAAUUUACUGUAUAUAUGAAGCCUGCCCUGAUUGAUUCUAGUUUGCUACAUGUUCUCUUUUGCAGCUAAAUCAUCAACUAGAUAAGAUCCAACCACAGAAGAAGACAACCACAAGCUAGCAGCAGAUGAGCAGAAACAAACUAAUUGAAAAAUGAAAAAGCAAAAGUACAGAUGUGGCUUAAACAAUCUAGUGAUUGAGAAGAAUGCAUACCACUCUUUUGUAUACAUAGCAAAAGUUCAAACUUCAAAAUGUACAUCACCUGCUGGGUUAAAAGAGAACAGAUCAAAUGGACAGGAUUAAUUUCUACGUAGAAGUUCAUGUUGUCUAGGGUCUACGGUCUACCAACUUUAGUUGCAUAAAAUUGCAAGGAAAUUUUUCUUCAUAGCUUCCGUUAUAAUAUUUUCAAUGACUGUUUCUAUAUGCGAAGAAAUAAUAAAAACGUGCCACAGCCAUUGUUACCUUA